rnacentral:misc_RNA from 1 species
GAUGAAGAACGCAGCGAAAUGCGAUAAGUAGUGUGAAUUGCAGAAUUCAGUGAAUCAUCGAAUCUUUGAACGCACAUUGCGGCCAUAGGUAUUCCUUUGGCCAUGCCUGUUCGAGCGUCAUUUACACCCUCAAGCCUAGCUUGGUGUUGGGCGUCUGUCCCGCCGUUUUCGCGCGCGGACUCGCCUCAAAGUCAUUGGCGGCGGUCGUGCCGGCCCCCUCGCGCAGCACAUUCGCGCUUCUCGGAGGCCCGGCGGAUCCGCGCUCCAGCAAGACCUUUCACGACUUGACCUCGGAUCAGGUAGGGAUACCCGCUGAACUUAAGCAUAUCAAUAAGCGGAGGA